rnacentral:rRNA from 1 species
CAUUGUCGAGACCGAAUUGAGACCGAGCCAUUCUGAAAACCUGUGAUCUAUCACUCUGGCGCCGGCGAAUGUCGUCGCCAGGCACCGGUCCCUCCGCCGCAGUCCCUCCCUUAACGGAUUGGCGCUGCGGCGGGGUGGGCGGGAAACAAAAAACCGGCGCAGCCCUGUGCCAAGGUACAUUUACAAUGCUAGCGUGUCGUGCGCGUCGCGCGUCGGCAUCGCUUCCUACAGAUCAUAUGACUCUCGGCAAUGGAUAUCUUGGCUCUUGCAUCGAUGAAGAGCGCAGCGAAAUGCGAUACGUGGUGCGAAUUGCAGAAUCCCGUGAACCAUCGAGUUUUUGAACGCAAGUUGCGCCUGAGGCCAACUGGUCGAGGGCACGUCCGCCUGGGCGUCAUGCAUCACAUCGCUCCGCCUCACGUCGCCUGCAUCUAUGAUGCGGCGACGUGUGCUUGGAUGCGGAUAUUGGCCCGUCGUGCGUCGUUGCGCGGCGGGUUGAAGAGCAGGCUGCUCUCCUCUUGGACAUGGUCGGUAAGGGGUGGAUGUAGGUCGGGAUCCGACGCACAUUUGACGCUACCGUACCAUACGUCAUCGGGGAGGGCGUCGACAGCAUCCGAACGGGGAGGGCCCGCGCGCAAGCGCAGUCGGGUGCCGCCUCUGAAUGCGACCCCAGGAUGGGCGGGAU